UGAGGUUUUGGCUUAGUUUUAGUUUAGUUUAGGUUUAGUUAGGUUAGUUUCCUGUUUAAUAAAGGAGAAAAGGAGAAAAGAAGAAGGAGAAAGGAGAAGAAGAAGAAGGAGAAAGGAGAAUAAGAAGAAGGAGAAAGGAGAAGAAGAGAAGGAGAAAUGAGAAGAAAAAAAUAAGAAGAAGGAAAAGAAGAAGAAGGAAAAGGAAGGGAAGGAGAAGAAAGAAGAAGAAGAACAAGAAAAAUAGGAGAGGAAGAGAAGAAUAAAAGGAAAAAAGAAAAUAAGAAGAAGAAGAUGAAGAAGAAGAAGAAGAAGAAGAAGAAGAAGAAGAAGAAGAAGAG
rnacentral:lncRNA from 1 species